CAUAAACAAAUUUAUUCGCGCCAGCUUACAGAGCUAAAUUUAAAGUUAUUCGAUGGACGCUUUCGUUCGAUUAUAUCGAUCGAAAGAGUAAAACGAGACAUUAUAAUCGUGUUAAAAUUUCAAAAGCAUGAUACGCAAUCGCUGUUAUCUACAAAUCUAAUUAAUUAUCUUCUAAUUUGUAGAAAUUCAAUUAGAAAGAUAAUAAUUUUAACGAUGAAGAAAUUCUUGUACUUUUUGCGCAAAACAAAUUGCAACAUAAAAAGUAUGCUUGGUCCUCAUAAAUUAAAUUCUUUCGAAACAAUUUUAAACAUUUUUAAGGAUACAUAAAAGUACGUGUUUUGAAACAGAAAAAAAUUCAAUUAAACAGAAGUAACUUUUACUGUUCGUGUUAUCAAGAUUCUCUUGCAUCUGAGAACGAAAGCUACUUCCACGUUGAAUUAAGGAUUAGUUAGUUAAAAAUUCAUAUCUUAUUUUAAUUUAGGCAUUUACAGUAUCUUAUUAUUACAAUAAGGUUUCGCAUACAAUUUCUUGCACUACUCUACAACUUACGUUUAGAAUGAAGUAAUCUUAUAUUGCGUCGAAUAGUAUUUAAUACUAAUCCUAGCUGAUUCAAAACAUUGCUAAUAAUUACAACUCAUUCUCGAAAUAACAUAGGUGAUUAAACUGAAAAAUCGAAAACAGAAAAUCAUAAAUAUGUUUGCAACCAUGAUUGUGAAAUACAGCGGGAUGAGAAUGAAAUAAGGCAGAUUCGACUAUCUUUCUACACAAUAUGUAGCCAGUAAAAAAAUUCAAAAACUCACACACUCGCAGCAUCAUCACGUUGCGGUACACAAUACUGUAGUUAUGCAUACAUUCACGAGGUCCAGUACGUAUCAUGUUUUGUGUUGGGAUGCAAUUAAGGGGGGAGGAAAGGAACGAAAGAAGAAGAUAGAAAACACGGUAGAAAGAUACGGAACUAACACGAGUCGAGUUCCCGACGCCCACCUGAUCAUACAGUACAGAGUCGACAGAGAAUCGUGCUGAAACUAAACGUGCGUCGACUAUCGUCUCGCCAUGACAAAAGUAAAACUUGCUCCAUUAUUUCUGGCUGAGAUUGCACAAUUACUGACAAGAAAUCACAACGAAAAUUCCAGGUAGAGCGUCCAAGUGUGUACAUUUUAUCAGAAAUAUAAGAGUCUCCUAUCAUAUACGCUCCGGCUUACGUUUUACAAGAUAAGCACACAAGAAUAUACAAAGUUGUUCAAACGUUCGUGUAUUCCACCGGAAUACUCACUCAUUCUUAUCGUAAGUAGUCAUGAAAUAAAGUUAGCAUUCUUUGAAAUGGUUUCUGUUUAAAUGUAUUAUUCAGCACAGUAGAAAAAAAAACUUGAUUGAGGAAACCGGAGAACGUUGCAACGAGAACUCGAGUUGGAGGGGCUGCACUCCACUGCAUACAUUCAAGGCACAGCUUCUUGCCUUGCAAGUAGGUAUGCAAACAAUAUAUCGAUACACCUGACCCGAGGCAUCGGUCCAAAUAGAUUUCAAAUAAAGUUUAUUCAACGUUUAUUGUAGCCACCGUCAAUUCGGUUUCGAUGCAUCGAUCGUAGUAUCAUAUCGAUAUCCCCAACCAUGGGUUUUUUCAUUCUUUCCCAAGGGAAACGUUACUGAAAACUUUUAGUAAUAUUGCAUUCACUCACUCAUAUUACUCGUCGCAACGCUGAAUAGACAGGCGAUCCAUUUGGGCGAACGUUAAUUACUUGUCGAUAACAUUUGCACAAUUUUUAUUCCAACGAAACCGCCAAUUUUUUUUUAACAAAAUACCGCCUUACACACCACUGUGCACACCGACAUGCACCAACGUGCACUGCCGUACUGCGCAUGCGUGUUCGCGAUAAGUGUAAGGAGCUCGACUCAUGGCGGAUUCUUAGUAAGAUAUCUAUUCUUGUUAUUGGAAUAAAGUGAGAUGAACUGAUGCGUAAGAAACUAAGAUGGGAUAGAAUUAGGAGAGAUAUUCUCGUAUAUGAAAUAAGAAAGUCUAAAUAGACGCGAUAAAUUAUUAGGCAAACUACCAUGCUGCGUACGUGUCAUACUUGCGUAUAGGUAUUUUUAAUAAAUAUUUUAGAACGAUUGAACUAUCACAGAUGACACGUUUAAAUUAUCCGGAUGAAACAGGUUUUGUGUAAACAAAAUGUAGAAAAAAAGGUUUAAUGUAAAAUUUAUUAGUCACUAGACUAUAAUAGUUAACGAUAUGAAAUAAAAGUAAUAUUUUCAUGAUGUUAA